rnacentral:rRNA from 1 species
UACAGAGACUGCAAGCGUUAUUCGGAUUCACUGGGCGUAAAGGGUGCGCAGGCGGUUGGGUGUGUCAGAUGUGAAAAUCCCGAGGCUUAACCUCGGAACUGCGUCUGAAACUACUCGACUAGAGUACUGGAGAGGGAAACGGAAUUCACGGUGUAGCAGUGAAAUGCGUAGAUAUCGUGAGGAACACCAGAGGCGAAGGCGGUUUCCUGGACAGUUACUGACGCUCAGGCACGAAAGCAUGGGGAGCAAAAAGGG